CGAACUAGGACCUUGUGCUUGCUAGGCAAGCGCUCUACCACUGAGCCAAAUCCCCAACCCUGAGAGACCAAUCUUGAUGCAAUAAGCAGAGCUUGCAGCCAUUUGUGAUGUGUUUGUGGAAAACUAUGUCCCUGGGAAGCUUUCUGAGAUGGGCCUAGGAUAUGCAGAUAUAGAUAAGAUUGCGCCUCACAUCGUCUACUGCUCCAUCACAGGUGGCAUGUUUGACCCAAGUAGCUGCCAAUUAUCUUAUUGGACAAAAGGAAGCCAAACGCUGGGGCACAGCUCAUGGCAGUAUUGUUCCGUAUCAGGAGCCUAGCAUGAUUGCCCUCUGAAAGACCCAACAAGCAGCUUAAAGAGUCAGGUGCAGAUAUUUACACCCAACCAAUGGACAGAAGCUGGUGACUCCUGUGGCUGAAUUAGGGAAAACCUGGAAGAAGCUGAGGAGGACCACGACCCUACAGGAGGACCACGACCCUACAGGAGGACCAGCAGUCUCAAUUAUCCUGGACCCCUGAGAUCUCUCAGACACUGAGGCACCAACCAGGCAGCAUAUGUCAGCAGAUAGGAGGCCCCCAACACAUAUACAGAAGAGGACUGCCUGGUCUGGACUCAGUCAGAGAAGAUGUGCCUAACCCUCAAGAGACUUGAGGCCCCAGGAAGUAGGGAGGUCUGGUGGGGUAGGGGUGGGG
rnacentral:lncRNA from 1 species